GUAGGGAAUCUUCCGCAAUGGGCGAAAGCCUGACGGAGCAACGCCGCGUGAGUGAUGAAGGGUUUCGGCUCGUAAAACUCUGUUAUUAGGGAAGAACAAAUGUGUAAGUAACUGUGCACGUCUUGACGGUACCUAAUCAGAAAGCCACGGCUAACUACGUGCCAGCAGCCGCGGUAAUACGUAGGUGGCAAGCGUUAUCCGGAAUUAUUGGGCGUAAAGCGCGCGUAGGCGGUUUCUUAAGUCUGAUGUGAAAGCCCACGGCUCAACCGUGGAGGGUCAUUGGAAACUGGGAAACUUGAGUGCAGAAGAGGAAAGUGGAAUUCCAUGUGUAGCGGUGAAAUGCGCAGAGAUAUGGAGGAACACCAGUGGCGAAGGCGACUUUCUGGUCUGUAACUGACGCUGAUGUGCGAAAGCGUGGGGAUCAAACAGGAUUAGAUACCCUGGUAGUCC
rnacentral:rRNA from 1 species